GAUUAAAAUUACGGUGGCCCUAAGGUGCAAAACACGAAGGCAAAUAAAAAAACGCAAUGAUGUUAAACAUUGUGUUUUCUAUUUUUGUGUUGUGUUUUCUUAUUUGCCGUUGUGUUUUGCACCUCAGGGCCACCGUAUAAAAUAGCC
rnacentral:miRNA from 1 species